rnacentral:rRNA from 1 species
UACGAAGGGGGCUAGCGUUGCUCGGAAUUACUGGGCGUAAAGGGCGCGUAGGCGGCACUGUUAGUCAGGCGUGAAAGUCCUGGGCUCAACCUGGGAACUGCGCUUGAUACGGCAGAGCUAGAGGAUGGAAGAGGCUCGCGGAAUUCCCAGUGUAGAGGUGAAAUUCGUAGAUAUUGGGAAGAAACACCGGUGGCGAAGGCGGCGAGCUGGUCCAUUACUGACGCUGAGGCGCGAGCAGCGUGGGGAGCAAACAGGAU